rnacentral:rRNA from 1 species
AACAGGAUUAGAUACCCUGGUAGUCCAUGCCGUAAACGUUGGGCACUAGGUGUGGGGGACAUUCCACGUUUUCCGCGCCGUAGCUAACGCAUUAAGUGCCCCGCCUGGGGAGUACGGCCGCAAGGCUAAAACUCAAAGGAAUUGACGGGGGCCCGCACAAGCGGCGGAGCAUGCGGAUUAAUUCGAUGCAACGCGAAGAACCUUACCAAGGCUUGACAUUCACCGGACCGCCCCAGAGAUGGGGUUUCCCUUCGGGGCUGGUGGACAGGUGGUGCAUGGUUGUCGUCAGCUCGUGUCGUGAGAUGUUGGGUUAAGUCCCGCAACGAGCGCAACCCUCGUUCUAUGUUGCCAGCACGUGAUGGUGGGGACUCAUAGGAGACUGCCGGGGUCAACUCGGAGGAAGGUGGGGAUGACGUCAAAUCAUCAUGCCCCUUAUGUCUUGGGCUUCACGCAUGCUACAAUGGCCGGUACAAAGGGUUGCGAUACUGUGAGGUGGAGCUAAUCCCAAAAAGCCGGUCUCAGUUCGGAUUGAGGUCUGCAACUCGACCUCAUGAAGUCGGAGUCGCUAGUAAUCGCAGAUCAGCAACGCUGCGGUGAAUACGUUCCCGGGCCUUGUACACACCGCCCGUCAAGUCACGAAAGUUGGUAACACCCGAAGCCGGUGGCCUAACCCCCUGUGGGAGGGAGCCGUCGAAGGUGGGACUGGCGAUUGGGACUAAGUCGUAACAAGGUAACC